rnacentral:lncRNA from 1 species
GGAACAUACUCUGUCUUCUUUGCUGCCCUCUAAUUCAACGACUCUUCUUGUGUUGUAUGCUAAUGCAAGGCUUUUAAGUUUCAGAGAAAUAAAUCUGAUCUCUUCCACCUAAUCAAAGGCCUUUAGUAAUGGUUAACUGAUCUGGAAGAGGGAUUUCUGGGCACCGCAAGUUCCAGAUGAGGACAACAUCUGCAGAACUCAGUGUCAUAAAAAUGAUGCUGCAUCUAUGGUAAGAAGGAUUUUGAUAGACAUCAAAUCGUGGGGAUGUAUCCAUUAUUUUAAACUGGCUAAAAAGAGAUGACUGAAUCUCAGCAGCUGCAAUCCCAUCGUUUUUGAUCUGAACAAAUCUCUUCAGACUUUCAUGGUGGCACUGCGAUCACACAUGCAAUGCUAAUGAGAAAUAUGAAAAUACAUGGUGGCAAGUAAGUUUUUUUUUUUUUUUUUUUUUUUUUUCCUGAGAAAAAAAACCUGAGAAGGUUUUGCGUUUUCAAUUGUGAAGAUACAUGGACUUAUGUUUAAGAAUAGUAAGAUGAGUAUUAAUCAGGGAAACAUCUGAAUAGAAGAUCUUUCCAGGUUACAUGCACACUUACAGCAUCCAGUUUAAACUGCCAAAAAAGCCAUCUCAAAUAACAUUUUGUUAUUGCUGAAAAAUCUCACAUGGAAGAAGUCUGUGAACUUUCAUUGCAUUAAUCAAGUAAAGAAGCGUGAGUAAUAUGUCCCACCUGAUAUCCAGGAAACACAAUCAUAUCAUCUUUCUAUCAGAUAUGUAUUUAAAUAUGUAACUGAUGCAAUCUAGUAGGAAAAUAAUAUCAAAACAAACAAUAGAGGCAGUGGAAUGUAUUAAAUAGUGUUGUCUUCAAAAACAACUAUUUAAAAAUGCAAAAUAGUGACUAGUGCAAAAGCAAGUCCUUUCCAGUAAACAAACAAAACUGUAAUAAUAGGUUAAAAAAUGCAGUUUUCUUUUAUUUUUUUUUUUUUUCCUCUCGGAUCUUAUUACAAAUAUAUAUAUUAGCUGU